AACGAACGCUGGCGGCAGGCUUAACACAUGCAAGUCGAACGCAUCCUUCGGGGUGAGUGGCAGACGGGUGAGUAACGCGUGGGAACGUGCCCUUCAGUUCGGGAUAACCCAGGGAAACUUGGGCUAAUACCGGAUACGUGCGAGAGCAGAAAGAUUUAUCGCUGAAGGAUCGGCCCGCGUCUGGUUAGCUAGUUGGUGGGGUAAUGGCCCACCAAGGCGACGAUCAGUAGCUGGUCUGAGAGGAUGAUCAGCCACAUUGGGACUGAGACACGGCCCAAACUCCUACGGGAGGCAGCAGUGGGGAAUAUUGGACAAUGGGCGAAAGCCUGAUCCAGCAAUGCCGCGUGAGUGAUGAAGGCCUUAGGGUUGUAAAGCUCUUUCGGGUGGGACGAUGAUGACGGUACCACCAGAAGAAGCCCCGGCUAACUUCGUGCCAGCCGCCGCUGUAA
rnacentral:rRNA from 1 species